UUACGGAGUCAGAUAACAUGUCACUUCUGCUACAAUACACAAGCCCUAGACAUUUCAAAGUUAUUUACAACCUUUUAAUGUAAUAACACGCUUUUUUGUCAUUUAUUAAUAAUAUUACAACGUGAAAUGAACUAUUUUUAUGAAGACACACCGAACAGGUCCCGUGGGCUUUUAUUUUGCGCUUUAACUAAACAACCCCCCUGAACCAGCAAAAGCAGUCAAACUAAUUAGCGAAACUAAUUACCAAACAUACAUAGGUCAACAAAUGUUUUAAUAUCUUGCCAACACAUACCGAAACCUUUCCACCUUAUCUGCAAUUAAGUCCGCACCUAUAAAAUGUGGAUUAUUCUGUUACCGGAGACAGAAGGGUGGUGUCGAACUAUCAGAUCACCUGUCCCUCAUAAGCCGCAGUUUCUCUUCCUAGGUAUAGUAAUGAAUAUACUUUAUUACUACAGCAUCAAAUCAGCCAACAAGUCUUCGUGUGUAGGUGACACACAGCUAAUGAUCGCCAUCACGCAGCGUGUGAGAAGAGCGUCCCGUUGAGAAGCUGAAAAGUGGAGGCGCCCUUUACAUUGGACACCGCACAGAUUCAGAGCAGGUAAACAGGAGUCGAGAGAGCUUGAAUGUACCUCUUAACCUCUGCAUUAAGAAACAAAGGCUGCUCUUGCAGUAUCGUUUCGUUUGUUUCUUCGAUACUCAUAAUCCAGAUUUGAGUAGAACUGAGGUCUCAGAUUCGAUUCCGCGGCUGGGACGGGUUCAAUGUAGAAGUUGCGCCUUUUCCAGUUGGCCACGUGGGUUUUUUUCUGGGCAUGCUGCUUAGGUUAAUUGGUGUCUACAAUCUGUAAAUGCGUGUGGCGUGCGAUUAACGGGGUGCAAAUCGUAUCAUGCAUUGGUCCCCUUGUCAACCGUAUUAGCCUUGCCGAUGCCUCUCACCCCAGGCAUGCCCGUGGUGCGGCCCGGUCGCGUGGAGCUGGCGGAGCGACAGAACAAACAGGCCGAGGAGAGGCUGAGCCGCCACCUGAGCGCCAUGGACCUCCGCUGCAGCCGCCAGCUCGCCCAGCUCCAGGAGCAGAAGAGAAGACUGAGCGCAGAGCUCUGCAGCAUCAGAUGCGACACCACUCCAUCAUUGGAGAACCUCCUGGUGGAGAUGCCACCUGACCUGCCCAGGCAGAUCCUCUCCCGAAAGCGCAUCUCCCUGCCCACCCUGCAGCUGGCACUCUCCCUCGGUGCGCCCGGCGAUGGCCUGGCCAGGCGGAACUUGGCCAUCCCCAUGCCGACCGACUUCCAGAAGCGCAUGAGCUCCUUCCUGUCAGAGUUGGAGCAGCUCAAGAGGAAGGCGUUGUCGGAGCCUGGAGAGGAAGGGUGCGCUGAGGCCGGCACCCCAGGAGAGGGGCAGGUAGAAGAGGGUGGGCUGAGCGAGGAGGAGCCCGCAAGCCAGAGAGAACCCCACCCGGAGAGGGAGAGGCAGAAGGAGGUGGAAACUCCAGAAGUGACCUGGCAGCGGGUGCAAAACUGCCGUUACCUCCACCAUCGGGAAAUUCUGGAGCAGGAAAGAGAAUUAAGUCUGCAGGAGAUCUUUAGUAAAGAGGGGAUUUGUGGGGAGGAUCAGGUGUAGGUCUGUGAUCCAUCCCUUCGAAGCUCUUAGAUUUGUAUGUAAAGAAAGCUUCAUGCUGGAAUCCUCCGUGAUUCCUACAAAAAGAGUCCUGCCGGACUUUUGCUGUUCCUAAAUGGGAUGGGUCCUGCAAGGUAUUCAUCCCAAAAUCCUGUUUCUUUCAAGAAUUGUAGUGAAUGUUGCACAGGUGGUUGUGCAUGUGUUGGUGAGAGGAGCACAUAUUACUAAUGAUGGGACAAUGAUCCUGCAAACAUAGGCACUCCUUACAGAUGAUGUGUGGCUGUCCCCAUAAUGCAAAUAACUGGUUUUGAGUUAAGCAAAUGGCGUUAUCUUGCCAUGUCCAAAGCAUAUUUCACUGUGUGUCUGGAAUAGCAAACAGAAACAGAAUGUGAGUCGUUGUGAAGUCCUCACAAAGAUAUGAAUAUGUUGUUGUGUGUGAAUAUAGUGGAAUAGUUUGCGACGAAUCAGUGAAAAUUAAGUAUAAGAGCACAGAAAGUUGUACUUCAUCUGUGCUGCUGUUAAUUUGGGAGAAUAAUUUUCAUGUUUGACAUUUACAGUACUUUUCACUCUCACAGGUUCAUAUUGUUUAUAUAUAUAUUAUCUAAUAAUAUAUAUUAGAUUUAUAAUAAUUGAUUACAAUAUCACUUUUCUAGUUUAAUUUGUUUUGUUUUUAAGUAUACAGGGUCAUUUGUUUGACUGACUUUGUACUGAUGGUUUAUAGGCAAUAAAAACACAAUGGUUUCAUCUUGAGUAUUAGUGUUAGCAUUUGCUGCCUUGCAGUGCUGGGACCCUGGGGUGCUAUCACCUUAGUUUGUAAGUCACUCCCGGU
rnacentral:lncRNA from 1 species